UGGAUCAGUGAUGAUAAAUGCCGGCGUAUGAGUCAUCGAUGAUGAAUAAUACGUGUCUCGAACUCUGAGGUCCAA
ensembl:snoRNA